AAGGCAGAAGAAAAAUUACUGAAAAAUAAUUCCAUGCAAUCCAAAAGACUUCGACCAGAGGGGAUGCAAUGCUGGAUCUGAUGGUCAGCAACAUAAGGGAUCAAAUCAGGGACUUCAAAACUGAAGGCAGCCUGGUGGAGUUUUCAGUCCUAAAGGAUAUGAGUCAGUUUCAUCCAGAAUACUUCACUUCAUAGAAAUAAGACGCUUUGAGAAGUAGACGCUUCUGGGAAUGAGAACAGGUUGCUUUUCUCAAAAUAGAUCUAAUCUGGCCUCCACAAACACGCCAUCACUCAGCAACUGAAAUAAUUUUAAAAGAAUGAAUAAGGUUAAAUUGGCAGUAGUGUACUUGCCAUCUGGAGUGAAACAGAAAAGCCAUAGCAGUUGGCUGCUGGAUGCGUAGCCAAAAGAAAAGGAAUUUGUAAGUAAUUGUGUCUGAAAUCUGUUAACUAGAGAGAAUAAAUGGAUAAUGAAGAAUACAGGAAGGUAAGUGAUUGUUGAAGCUUGUAAAUGUAUAGGAAGUGUCAAGUGAUAUAACAUAUACACUGAAGGAGAAACUGUAUGAACAAAGCCCAUUUGAGAAGCUUUGUACCUUUUGCCACUCACAGAAGUAAGAAUAAUUUUGUGUAGAGUACAAAGAAUGCUCCAGAGCUCUUCACUUAUGCUGCACAGUUCAGUCCCACCUGAAUUCUGUUUGACACAGUUCAACCAUAGAGACCUGACAUUUGGUGUUUCUAAGUCCUGAAGCACAUUGCAGGUCUGUGGAGGAAGAGCUGCCUUAAAAAAAAGAAAAAUAUAGAUAACCUAGAAAAGUAUUGUAUUCUAUUCUAAUAUUUAGGUGAUCAUCAGAUAAAGGGCUUUUUAUUCAGAAACGUUAGAGAUUCUACUACUUCUAUCUACUUAAAAAUGGAGAGAAAAUGGAGAAAAAACAACUAACAGAACAACCUAUUGUUAUGUAACAUGUUAUCAUGCAAGUAAGUUAGACUUGGGCAAAAAAUAAUUACUACAAAAGAUGUAAAUAAGCAUUGUCUGUUUGAGUCCUGUCCUGAGCUGCCUUAGCUGAUUCAUAAAACACAAAUGUAACCAUGGAAUUGAUUAUUUGCUGCACAUUUAGGUAACAUUGAUACAAUAACUGGUCACCAAAAUUACUUUUCCUUCCUUUUGCUAAUGAUUUUUAUAUCACUUGGUGUAGUUGUGUCUGUAUAUUACUGUGCCUUGUGCUUUAGGACAUCCUGGAUGUACCAAAGAAAUGCUGACAAAUCAGAUCAUUCAACUGUAAAGUUCUCCUUGUGAUCCCUACUUCUCUGUUAUGGCUCACAUUAUCACAGUACCUCUAAUUCAAGAUCUCACAUUUUUAUAGAGGGGAGUAAGAAAUAUUGCUUAAAUUAUAUAACCCAAGGAAAGCAGGGAAGGAAAAUUAGCAUGGGAUAAAGCAGGAUCUAAGGCACACAACCACAAGUGCUAAUUAUUUUGGUAUAGAUAGCAGGUAGGCAUGGGCUAAGGUGGACCUCACAAGGUAACUAAGAGGACAGCUACCGAAUUGUUGCUAAAUGCAUCAAAAAGUUUUAAAGUAAAGACAUAUUUGCAAAAGUCCAACAGCUUUUUUUUUUUUUUCUUCCCCUUCCCCAACCCCUUUCAGGUAAGAGGAGAAAGGAAAAUACCAUCCAAGUGAAAUAGUUCCAUCAUAUCUGUAAUACAAAGAGAGAAAAGAGGAUUUUUAUAGUUUUCCAUUUUAAAGCAUUUUUAUGGAUUAGAGUACCAGCAGAUCUCUUGUUAGCUGUGUUUUGUGCCAAAAGCUUAUAAAGUCAGUACCAAAUAACUAACGGAAUAUAAUUUCAGUGUGUGCUAUUAAAUGUGAAUAAGUGUGCAUUGAGGAUAGCUCAAAACUAAAUUUCACCAAUGUUAAUAAGAGUUUAUAGAAAAUAGAAAUAGAAACAACACUAGAUAAAGGAAUAUAUCCUAGGAUACGAAGGCUUGUAAUGAGACAGUGCUGGAAAUGCAGCAUUUUCCUCUUUUCUUUCAUUGAUCUCACAAAAGCAUUGUAUAUGGUAAGUUGCUGUGCUCUUUGCAGCCUCACAGAAAAUCCGUCUCUGUUUAAGCCGUUUGCAGUGGGCUUCAGACCUGCUUUAUAUGAGUACCAAAUGAAGCUCAACAGACUGAUACUUUCCAUAGGAUGACUCAAAGAAUCCAUCUUGUAACUAGUCUUGUUCAUGCUGUUCAGGACAGUGAGGUACAUGAUUGCUGUGACCUUCAAAUGAGCAUUUGGAUUUUUGAAAUUCAUGAGUGUUGCUUAUUCUCUCCAAUUAGUCUAAAAAAGCUAAAUGGACAAGUUAAGAAUUUUUGCUUAUAACCACACAUAGGUUUUCCACUCCAAUUUCUAAUUUACAAGUGCUGGAACAGAAAUUUAUUCUUCUCCAGACAGCUUUUAAUUUGGCUGUCAGAUGAAAAAUUAGGGCUGCUAGAGGGAACAACAAAAAAGAGUGUCUGUUGACCCUGUAAACUGAACUCCUUGUCUGAAAGCUGCUUGUUUUUUGGUAUUUGCUGAGUAAUAAUGAAUGCCUACCAAGAGAUGGACCCAGAAAAAAAAAAGGUACUCCUGACAGGCACUUUCAAGAAAGCAGUAGUCUGCCAUCAGGCUCCCCAUCAGGUGCAUUAAGGAUUUGAGCUUCAUGUCUCCUGCAGGAUAACUCUUUGGGAGCUGGACAGAAGAUAAAUCUGUGGACUGGAGUUCUGCUAUGGAAACAACAGCUUUCCCCUCUCUGGAGAGCAUUGUGCAAUGAAUUGAUCAGUGGUAAUGUUCAGACUUCGUGUUCACCAAGGUGUUACUGACUAAAGUCCAGCUGUGAGAGACCAGAGAAAUUGUCCAUUUGAACUGAAUGGCUUACGCAGAGCCAACGCCUUUCCUGCUUUUUGUACUGCCAUGAUGGCAAAGACCUUGGGGGAGCAUCAGAGGUUCAGAGGGGACACAGCUAGGACAGGCAGCAUCAACUGAAUACUGACAGUGGAGAAAGAGGGACUGGGAUCCCGCAGCUGAGCACACAAGAAAUGCAGCACAGAAACAGAGAAGUGUUUAGUUUCCCACUCAGAAGGAGUCAAGAGAGGAAGUUUUUAAGUCCAGAGUGUUGGUUAUCAAGAGACUUUGAUUUGUGGAUAAAGGAAGUGAUUGCUAUUGCAUCAGUUCCUGAGAGAAAGGGAAACAAAAAGGGGUAUAUUCCCUAUAAUUAGGAUUACAGCUAAACCUGGUUGUAAAUUACUUCUAAAGGUAAAAACCUUGAGUAUUUGGGCUAGAAAAAAUGAUGGGAUUUGAGUACGUCUUUCUCUUAUUUCAGACAUGAUCUCUGCUUUUAACUCUGUGUUCAUUUGUUCCUUUAAUUUUUUCCCUCUAUUUUUUUUUCCCUUUUGAGUGUGAUACAAGAGUAAUGUGUGCUUUUGGAAGGACUUGCAUUGUGCAAGGGUUUCCACUCCAUGUUGGCAGACAAGUAAAUGGGGUUCUGGCAUCUCAUUUGUGCUCAUUUGGGGUUGUUUACUGACAGUAGAAAAACAAAAAAAUAAACAAAAGCUAUGAGAUAGCAAAUUUUUUACUUGUACUUUUGCCAAGUACUUGUGUACUCUCUUUGUGCCAGGAUUUUCAGUAACGAUGGCAUUAAACUAUAUUCUCUUCUCCCUUUGGCCAUAACAACUAAGCUCAUUUAUUUUUAUUUAAAUUGGCUAUUUUAGAAAUGCUCUUAUCAGUUAAACCAGCUUCUCUUUUCUAGAAUAAUAAUAUGGUUUUGUGAUUAAAUCAAAAGGUCAUACUGCAAAAAAGAUCUUGUAAUGUAGAGCUAAAGAAAAUGAUGUAUUAAUUUCAUAAUGUAUUGAAGAUUACUCUGUUUCUCCCUCUCUUUACCAUAGAAGUUUGUUUGGACAAAUUUCAAGGUUCUGAACUAUGGAUUUUUUUUUUUUUUUGAGAGGCUUAAAGACCCUAUAAAUCUAGCAUUCCUUUACCUGAGUUUUGUUCUCAAACUUUAAUUUAUAGACCAUGAAAAAAGGAACUAAAAUAUUUGUAAAU